rnacentral:tRNA from 1 species
UGGCUCAGUUGGUAGAGCAUGUGACUCUUGAUCUCGAGGCUGUGGGUUCAAGCCCCAU